rnacentral:rRNA from 1 species
UACAGAGGUGGCAAGCGUUGUUCGGAAUUACUGGGCGUAAAGGGCGCGUAGGCGGCCGAUCAAGUCGGGGGUGAAAGCCUGUGGCUCAACCACAGAAUUGCCUUCGAUACUGUUUGGCUUGAGACCGGAAGAGGUAAGUGGAACUGCGAGUGUAGAGGUGAAAUUCGUAGAUAUUCGCAAGAACACCAGUGGCGAAGGCGGCUGACUGGUCCGGUUCUGACGCUGAGGCGCGAAAGCGUGGGGAGCAAACAGG